rnacentral:rRNA from 1 species
AGAGUUUGAUCCUGGCUCAGGAUGAACGCUAGCUACAGGCUUAACACAUGCAAGUCGAGGGGCAGCAUGGUCUUAGCUUGCUAAGGCCGAUGGCGACCGGCGCACGGGUGAGUAACACGUAUCCAACCUGCCGUCUACUCUUGGACAGCCUUCUGAAAGGAAGAUUAAUACAAGAUGGCAUCAUGAGUCCACAUGUUCACAUGAUUAAAGGUAUUCCGGUAGACGAUGGGGAUGCGUUCCAUUAGAUAGUAGGCGGGGUAACGGCCCACCUAGUCUUCGAUGGAUAGGGGUUCUGAGAGGAAGGUCCCCCACAUUGGAACUGAGACACGGUCCAAACUCCUACGGGAGGCAGCAGUGAGGAAUAUUGGUCAAUGGGCGAGAGCCUGAACCAGCCAAGUAGCGUGAAGGAUGACUGCCCUAUGGGUUGUAAACUUCUUUUAUAAAGGAAUAAAGUCGGGUAUGCAUACCCGUUUGCAUGUACUUUAUGAAUAAGGAUCGGCUAACUCCGUGCCAGCAGCCGCGGUAAUACGGAGGAUCCGAGCGUUAUCCGGAUUUAUUGGGUUUAAAGGGAGCGUAGAUGGAUGUUUAAGUCAGUUGUGAAAGUUUGCGGCUCAACCGUAAAAUUGCAGUUGAUACUGGAUAUCUUGAGUGCAGUUGAGGCAGGCGGAAUUCGUGGUGUAGCGGUGAAAUGCUUAGAUAUCACGAAGAACUCCGAUUGCGAAGGCAGCCUGCUAAGCUGCAACUGACAUUGAGGCUCGAAAGUGUGGGUAUCAAACAGGAUUAGAUACCCUGGUAGUCCACACGGUAAACGAUGAAUACUCGCUGUUUGCGAUAUACUGCAAGCGGCCAAGCGAAAGCGUUAAGUAUUCCACCUGGGGAGUACGCCGGCAACGGUGAAACCCAAAGGAAUUGACGGGGGCCCGCACAAGCGGAGGAACAUGUGGUUUAAUUCGAUGAUACGCGAGGAACCUUACCCGGGCUUAAAUUGCAGAUGAAUUACGGUGAAAGCCGUAAGCCGCAAGGCAUCUGUGAAGGUGCUGCAUGGUUGUCGUCAGCUCGUGCCGUGAGGUGUCGGCUUAAGUGCCAUAACGAGCGCAACCCUUGUUGUCAGUUACUAACAGGUUCUGCUGAGGACUCUGACAAGACUGCCAUCGUAAGAUGUGAGGAAGGUGGGGAUGACGUCAAAUCAGCACGGCCCUUACGUCCGGGGCUACACACGUGUUACAAUGGGGGGUACAGAGGGCCGCUACCACGCGAGUGGAUGCCAAUCCCAAAAACCUCUCUCAGUUCGGACUGGAGUCUGCAACCCGACUCCACGAAGCUGGAUUCGCUAGUAAUCGCGCAUCAGCCACGGCGCGGUGAAUACGUUCCCGGGCCUUGUACACACCGCCCGUCAAGCCAUGGGAGCCGGGGGUACCUGAAGUGCGUAACCGCGAGGAGCGCCCUAGGGUAAAACUGGUGACUGGGGCUAAGUCGUAACAAGGUA